CAAAGUGUACAAUAUAGACAGCAGCAGCCUGAGGGAUUUUUUCAACAAGUGGAUUGCAAUAAUCAUACAGUGCCUGAUAUGAGGUAUGGAUACGAUAAUGUGCCACCGGAAUAUGCAGCACCAUCAACACAAGAUGCUCUUGGAGUUGUACCUGGAUGGAUGCUUUGAAUUUGGAGUCCAAAAGACAAGAAAAUUACAUGAGUUAGGAAAAACUAAAAAUUGCCACAAUGAUGAAAUCUUUCCCUGACAUAAAAAUAGAGAUUCAUUGUUGAAAAAUAUUAGUACUAUUUGCAUGUUUAACUAGCUAGCAAACACUUGGAAUUAUGCAGAUAGAAUUUAUGACAUGUAAAAGGUUUAUACAUUGUGAUGUAGUUAUUGUCAA